rnacentral:rRNA from 1 species
UGGGGAAUUUUGGACAAUGGACGCAAGUCUGAUCCAGCCAUGCCGCGUGCGGGAAGAAGGCCUUCGGGUUGUAAACCGCUUUUGUCAGGGAGGAAACGAGCUUCUCUAAUACAGAGACUUAAUGACGGUACCUGAAGAAUAAGCACCGGCUAACUACGUGCCAGCAGCCGCGGUAAUACGUAGGGUGCAAGCGUUAAUCGGAAUUACUGGGCAUAAAGCGUGCGCAGGCGGUUAUGCAAGACAGAUGUGAAAUCCCCGGGCUCAACCUGGGACCUGUAUUUGUGACUGUAUAGCUAGAGUACGGUAGAGGGGGAUGGAAUUCCGCGUGUAGCAGUGAAAUGCGUAGAUAUGCGGAGGAACACCGAUGGCGAAGGCAAUCCCCUGGACCUGUACUGACGCUCAUGCACGAAAGCGUGGGGAGCAAACA